GGACACUUUCGCCGGCCGGUAACAGUCGCCGGAACUGAAGGUUUAACCAUAGUGGUUUGCUUUCUGUGUUCAGUAUACUUAACUCUACUAGACAACAUGGUUUGUUGGUCCAUUUUUAUGAGUGAUUUUUCUCAGAUUCGCAUUUGAAAAAAGGGAAAAAGAUUCUUGGAAUAAAGACUUAAAGAAGAGAAGGGGGAGACUCUUUUAAAAGCACAAGCUUUGUAUUAGUAACAGUUUUGGGGUAUGAAAAGUUUAACAACAAAAAUCUUCAAAAAUCGAUUGUGUUGGAAACCUCCCGUUUUAAGCACAGAAAGUUCAAGAAAAAGUAGCAGAAAAAAAAGUCAGAAUUUAUACUCUCUAAGAGCAAAAGAGUAGACGGUACAGUGAACAAAAAAAUGGGCUACGUCAGUGCUGCAUAACACAGAAGGUGUACUGAGGAGAAAAAAGAGGAAAUACACAGAAAAGUUUCAGAAGAAACAGAGACAGAAUCAAUCACUUGCUAUAUCGAGUAAAUGUUCUGAGGAAACUAGGAUUCUGUAGCAAUUUUCAGGUCGAUUUUCUAGUGAAAAUCUCGGGGAAAGUUGAAAGAGAGAGUAUGAUUUUGAACUGUGUUUAGCUUUUUAGAGAAAGUAGAGGAAGUGUGAAGUAGGA
rnacentral:lncRNA from 1 species